UACGUAGGGACCGAGCGUUGUCCGGAAUCAUUGGGCGUAAAGCGCGUGUAGGCGGCCCGGUAAGUCCGCUGUGAAAGUCGGGGGCUCAACCCUCGAAUGCCGGUGGAUACUGUCGGGCUCGAGUACGGGAGAGGCGAGUGGAAUUCCUGGUGUAGCGGUGAAAUGCGCAGAUAUCAGGAGGAACACCAAUUGCGAAGGCAGCUCGCUGGAACGUUACUGACGCUGAGACGCGAAAGCGUGGGGAGCAAACAGG
rnacentral:rRNA from 1 species